rnacentral:rRNA from 1 species
UACAGAGGGUGCGAGCGUUAAUCGGAAUUACUGGGCGUAAAGGGUGCGUAGGCGGUUAUUUAAGUUAGAUGUGAAAUCCCCGGGCUUAACCUGGGAAUUGCAUUUGAUACUGGAUGGCUAGAGUAGAGUAGAGGGAAGUGGAAUUUCCGGUGUAGCGGUGAAAUGCGUAGAUAUCGGAAAGAACAUCAGUGGCGAAGGCGGCUUCCUGGACUGGUACUGACGCUGAUGCGCGAAAGCGUGGGGAGCAAACAGG